rnacentral:rRNA from 1 species
AGUGAACGCUGGCGGUAGGCCUAACACAUGCAAGUCGAACGGCAGCACAGUAAGAGCUUGCUCUUACGGGUGGCGAGUGGCGGACGGGUGAGGAAUACAUCGGAAUCUACUUUUUCGUGGGGGAUAACGUAGGGAAACUUACGCUAAUACCGCAUACGACCUACGGGUGAAAGCAGGGGAUCUUCGGACCUUGCGCGAUUGAAUGAGCCGAUGUCGGAUUAGCUAGUUGGCGGGGUAAAGGCCCACCAAGGCGACGAUCCGUAGCUGGUGUGAGAGGAUGAUCAGCCACACUGGAACUGAGACACGGUCCAGACUCCUGCGGGAGGCAGCAGUGGGGAAUAUUGGACAAUGGGCGCAAGCCUGAUCCAGCCAUACCGCGUGGGUGAAGAAGGCCUUCGGGUUGUAAAGCCCUUUUGUUGGGAAAGAAAAGCAGCAGGUUAAUACCCCGCUGUUCUGACGGUACCCAAAGAAUAAGCACCGGCUAACUUCGUG